CUGUCCUUUAUAGUUGUUCCUGAGAACCCUUCCCCCCAUUAGCCCCUCCCGCCUCCCCUCUGGUUACUGCCAGAUUGUUCUUACUUCCAGUGUGUCUGGUUAUAUCUUGCUUGCUUUUUUCUUUUAUCGCUUAUGUUCCAGUUAAAGGUGAGAUCAUAUGGCAUUUGUCCCUCACCGCCUGGCUUAUUCAUAGAAUAAUGCUCUUCAGA